rnacentral:rRNA from 1 species
GAGUAACACGUAGGCAAUCUACCUACAGGACAGGGAUAACACAGCUAACGCGGUGCUAAUACCUGAUAAAGCGAUUGUUAUAAGAGAUGGUCGUUAACGGCUGGCAUUAGCUAGCGCCUGUAGAUGAGCCUGCGUCCCAUUAGUUAGUUGGUAGGGUAACGGCCUACCAAGGCGACGAUGGGUAGCCGGCCUGAGAGGGUGAGCGGCCACACUGGGACUGAGAUACGGCCCAGACUCCUACGGGAGGCAGCAGUGAGGAAUAUUGCGCAAUGGCCGAAAGGUUGACGCAGCGACGCCGCGUGAGGGAUGAAGCUUUUAGGAGUGUAAACCUCUGUUAGGAGGGAAGAAUAACGGCAAUUCGAACAGGGUUGUCGGAUGCCGGUACCUCCAGAGGAAGCCCCGGCUAACUCCGUGCCAGCAGCCGCGGUAAUACGGGGGGGGCUAGCGUUGUCCGGAAUUACUGAGCGUAAAGGGCGCGUAGGCGGGAUAGCAAGUCAGUGGUGCAAACUUGAGGCUUAACUUUGAGCUUGCCAUUGAUACUGUUAUUCUUGAGUUCGGCAGAGGGAAGUGGAAUUCCUGGUGUAGCGGUGAAAUGCGUAGAUAUCAGGAAGAACACCGGUGGCGAAGGCGGCUUCCUGGUCCGAUACUGACGCUGAGGCGCGAAAGCGCGGGGAGCGAACAGGAUUAGAUACCCUGGUAGUCCGCGCUGUAAACGAUGGGUACUAGGUGUUGGUUGUAGAGAUCAGCGCCGGAGUAAACGCAUUAAGUACCCCGCCUGGGGAAUACGGUCGCAAGACUGAAACUCAAAGGAAUUGACGGGGGCCCGCACAAGCGGUGGAGCAUGUGGUUUAAUUCGAUGCAACGCGAAGAACCUUACCUGGGCUUGAACUGCAGGUGCUAUCUCCUGAAAGGGAGUUUCCUUCGGGACACCUGUAGAGGUGCUGCAUGGCUGUCGUCAGCUCGUGCUGUGAGGUGUUGGGUUAAGUCCCGCAACGACAGCAACCCCUGUCCGUAGUUGUCAUCAGGUCAAGCUGGGAACUCUAGGGGGACUGCCCCGGAUAACGGGGAGGAAGGUGG